rnacentral:rRNA from 1 species
UGGGGAAUUUUGGACAAUGGGCGAAAGCCUGAUCCAGCAAUGCCGCGUGUGUGAAGAAGGCCUUCGGGUUGUAAAGCACUUUUGUCCGGAAAGAAAUCCUUGGCUCUAAUACAGUCGGGGGAUGACGGUACCGGAAGAAUAAGCACCGGCUAACUACGUGCCAGCAGCCGCGGUAAUACGUAGGGUGCAAGCGUUAAUCGGAAUUACUGGGCGUAAAGCGUGCGCAGGCGGUUUGCUAAGACCGAUGUGAAAUCCCCGGGCUCAACCUGGGAACUGCAUUGGUGACUGGCAGGCUAGAGUAUGGCAGAGGGGGGUAGAAUUCCACGUGUAGCAGUGAAAUGCGUAGAGAUGUGGAGGAAUACCGAUGGCGAAGGCGACGCCCUGGGCCAAAUACUGACGCUCAUGCACGAAAGCGUGGGGGAGCAAACAGGAUUAGAUACCCUGGUAGUCCACGCCCUAAAACGAUGUCAACUAGUUGUUGGGGAUUCAUUUCCUUAGUAACGUAGCUAACGCGUGAAGUUGACCGCCUGGGGAGUACGGUCGCAAGAUUAAAACUUAAAGGAAUUGACGGGGUCAUA